rnacentral:rRNA from 1 species
ACACUCCUACGGGAGGCAGCAGUGGGGAAUAUUGGACAAUGGGCGCAAGCCUGAUCCAGCCAUGCCGCGUGAGUGAUGAAGGCCCUAGGGUUGUAAAGCUCUUUCACCGGUGAAGAUAAUGACGGUAACCGGAGAAGAAGCCCCGGCUAACUUCGUGCCAGCAGCCGCGGUAAUACGAAGGGGGCUAGCGUUGUUCGGAUUUACUGGGCGUAAAGUGCACGUAGGCGGACUAUUAAGUCAGGGGUGAAAUCCCGGGGCUCAACCCCGGAACUGCCUUUGAUACUGGUAGUCUUGAGUUCGAGAGAGGUGAGUGGAAUUCCGAGUGUAGAGGUGAAAUUCGUAGAUAUUCGGAGGAACACCAGUGGCGAAGGCGGCUCACUGGCUCGAUACUGACGCUGAGGUGCGAAAGCGUGGGGAGCAAACAGGAUUAGAAACCCGGGUAGUCCCAUGAU